AAGCAGGCUCCUUAGAAGAUAAGAUGGCCCCUUACUCUCUCUAACAAGAGACUUCCAAGAGUUAUUUCUCUCUGAUCUUGUUCCAGGAAUGUGUCUUCCAAGAAGCGAGUCUGGAUUCAACUUAUGUCGACUCCUGGCCUGUCUCCAAGAUUCAGGGAUCUGCUCAGCAGACCUGAGCAAUCCAGUAGGCAUCUGGGCUCUGGAAGGAAGUACAAGCCAGCCAGUUCCAGCAGCUUUUUCUCAAAGCCCGGAGCAGGCUCUGCUUCUGUAGCAGCUACUAGCAUUUUCACGAUGAUAAACUGAGGCCACUCAUCUCAGGUCUGACUGAUGAGUAGCUCAGAAUCACUCCAGCAGGAAAGCCUCCUGGACUCAGGCCGCCUAUGUGAACACACACACCCAUUCCACUCUCUCCUGGCCAGCUUGAUUUCACUCUUCUUAUUUUUCUUGGGCUAAGAAAAGACAUUCUUUGCUGGAUAUAAAUAUCAUGCAUUUCAGAAAGUUCACAUACAAAAAUAACAUGGAUUUGGGAUCAUUACAGUUAAUUUUAGUAAAAGAAUUUUCUUUCUUUG